CCUUCAAUAUGGACAUGACGAUAAAAUAUAUGGAUACAAGAGUAACCUAUUGCUUUUAAACCAUUGGGCGGAAUGAUCCAAGGAUACAUGCAAGUACCAUCACACGCAUGUUAGUUAAUAAUUUGGUUGCUCUUAACUCACUCAGAAGCUUCGGUUACAGGGCAUUUUCUUGAUGCGGUUAAUGAGACUGGUGAUGAUGUUGAAGAUAUGCUGACGAGAUUGGUGAUGCGAAUCUAGCAAUGAGGUAUGUCCAUCUGUUUUAUAAGUUUACCACAUUCAGUUCGCAUAGGGAGUUCCCAGGUAACUUUUGAUUCGUGAUGAACGAUUUGGCAUAGUUAAUGUAUCUUUUUCCAAAACUUCUUUGAGAGUUAUUU